rnacentral:rRNA from 1 species
UGGGGAAUCUUGCACAAUGGGGGAAACCCUGAUGCAGCGACGCCGCGUGAACGAUGAAGCCCUUCGGGGUGUAAAGUUCUUUCGACAGGAACGAUAAUGACGGUACCUGGAGAAGAAGCUGCGGCUAACUACGUGCCAGCAGCCGCGGUAAUACGUAGGCAGCGAGCGUUGUUCGGAGUUACUGGGCGUAAAGAGUGCGUAGGCGGCGAGCCAAGUUUGGUGUGAAAUCUCCCGGCUUAACCGUGAGGGUGCGCCGAAAACUGGUUGGCUGGAGUAUGGGAGAGGAAAGCGGAAUUCCUGGUGUAGCGGUGAAAUGCGUAGAUAUCAGGAGGAACACCUGCGGUGUAGACAGCUUUCUGGACCAAAACUGACGCUGAGGCACGAAAGCGUGGGUAGCAAACA